rnacentral:rRNA from 1 species
GAUGAACGCUGGCGGCGUGCCUAAUACAUGCAAGUCGAGCGAACAGACGAGGAGCUUGCUCCUCUGACGUUAGCGGCGGACGGGUGAGUAACACGUGGAUAACCUACCUAUAAGACUGGGAUAACUUCGGGAAACCGGAGCUAAUACCGGAUAAUAUAUUGAACCGCAUGGUUCAAUAGUGAAAGACGGUUUUGCUGUCACUUAUAGAUGGAUCCGCGCCGCAUUAGCUAGUUGGUAAGGUAACGGCUUACCAAGGCAACGAUGCGUAGCCGACCUGAGAGGGUGAUCCGCCAAACUGGAACUGAGACACGGUCCAGACUCCUACGGGAGGCAGCAGUAGGGAAUUUUCCGCAAUGGGCGAAAGCCUGACGGAGCAACGCCGCGUGGGUGAAGAAGGUCUUCGGGUUGUAAAACUCUUUUAUUAGGGAAGAAAAAAAGUGUAAGUAAAUAUGCACGUCUUGACGGGACCCAAACAAAAAGCCACGGCUAACUUCGGG